rnacentral:rRNA from 1 species
GAUGAACGCUGGCGGUAUGCUUAACACAUGCAAGUCGAACGGUCACUUCGGUGAUAGCGGCGGACGGGUGAGUAACGCGUGAGAAUCUGUCUUCAGGUCGGGGACAACAGUUAGAAAUGACUGCUAAUACCGGAUGUGCCGUAAGGUGAAAGAUUUAUUGCCAGAAAAAGAGCUCGCGUCAGAUUAGCUAGUAGGUGGUGUAAGAGACUACCUAGGCGACGAUCUGUAGCUGGUCUGAGAGGACGAUCAGCCACACUGGAACUGAGACACGGUCCAGACUCCUACGGGAGGCAGCAGUGGGAAAUUUUCCGCAACGGGCGAAAGCCUGACGGAGCAAUACCGCGUGAGGGACGAAGGCUUUUUGGGUCGUAAACCUCUUUUAUUAGGGAAGAUUUCAGGACGGUACCUAAUGAAUAAGCAUCGGCUAACUCUGUGCCAGCAGCCGCGGUAAU